AACAAAAAAUGGAAGAAGCUAGCUCUACUAUAGAUUUGAAUGAAUCCUGUGGUUUCGUGGUCUUUUUUUUUUUUCCACUUGUU
rnacentral:ribozyme from 1 species